UGGGGAAUAUUGGACAAUGGGCGCAAGCCUGAUCCAGCAAUGCCGCGUGUGUGAAGAAGGCCUUCGGGUUGUAAAGCACUUUUAUCAGGAGCGAAACGCUGUCGGCUAAUACCCGGCGGAACUGACGGUACCUGAGGAAUAAGCACCGGCUAACUUCGUGCCAGCAGCCGCGGUAAUACGAAGGGUGCAAGCGUUAAUCGGAAUUACUGGGCGUAAAGCGUGCGUAGGCGGUUUCUUAAGUCUGCUGUGAAAUCCCCGGGCUCAACCUGGGAAUGGCAGUGGAUACUGGGAGGCUAGAGUGUGUCAGAGGGUGGUGGAAUUCCCGGUGUAGCGGUGAAAUGCGUAGAGAUCGGGAGGAACAUCAGUGGCGAAGGCGGCCACCUGGGACAACACUGACGCUGAGGCACGAAAGCGUGGGGAGCAAACAGGAUUAGAUACCCUGGUAGUCCACGCCCUAAACGAUGCGAACUGGAUGUUGGUCUCAACUCGGAGAUCAGUGUCGAAGCUAACGCGUUAAGUUCGCCGCCUGGGGAGUACGGUCGCAAGACUGAAACUCAAAUGAAUUGACGGGGUCCUAGCUGUUUCCUG
rnacentral:rRNA from 1 species